CUCUCCUCCUCCUACGUGAGCAAUCUGCAGCACGGAACAGAGCGGUGGCAAGAGUGGAGCCCAGGGUGGAUCUGCAGAGCCACAGGGGAAGCGGAGACCAAGCCAUACUCCACAAGUUCUGCCUCCUCCCAGCACCUCCAGUCCUCGCGGAAGGACAGCAACACCCUUUCCACCAUGAUGAAGAAGAACAAGAAGGGGUGUGACUGCAAAGGUCUCUUGAAGAACAGCUGGCUCUAGCUCAGCACGAUAUUCACCGUGUUGCUGGGACCUUGAGAGACAACGGCAGGACCCAACAAGGAACGAAGGCACAUCCGUCAGCAGAAACCGCAACGGUAAAGAUAAGGGAGAAAAACAGCCUGCCUAGGAACAACGAUGAGACCCAAUAAGGAGCAGGAGACCCCAGACCUAAAAAUUACUAUUGAUCUGAACUACCGCGUGAGGGGUGGGAAACUUAAGUUGAAAAAGCUAUAAUUGCCCAGGGAUUUCUUUGUUCGGGGUCCCUCUUCGGAGGCACCCAGCUCGAGCUGUAAUUAUGGCACGCGUGUCAUUAAAAUUUAAUUAUUUAA